AGUGAACGCUGGCGGUAGGCCUAACACAUGCAAGUCGAACGGCAGCACAGUAAGAGCUUGCUCUUACGGGUGGCGAGUGGCGGACGGGUGAGGAAUACAUCGGAAUCUACUUUUUCGUGGGGGAUAACGUAGGGAAACUUACGCUAAUACCGCAUACGACCUACGGGUGAAAGCAGGGGAUCUUCGGACCUUGCGCGAUUGAAUGAGCCGAUGUCGGAUUAGCUAGUUGGCGGGGUAAAGGCCCACCAAGGCGACGAUCCGUAGCUGGUCUGAGAGGAUGAUCAGCCACACUGGAACUGAGACACGGUCCAGACUCCUACGGGAGGCAGCAGUGGGGAAUAUUGGACAAGGGGCGCAAGCCUGAUCCAGCCAUACCGCGUGGGUGAAGAAGGCCUUCGGGUGGUAAAGCCCUUUUGUUGGGAAAGAAAAGCAGCAGGUUAAGACCCCGCUGUUCGGACGGUACCCAAAGAAUAAGCACCGGCUAACUUCGU
rnacentral:rRNA from 1 species